rnacentral:rRNA from 1 species
UGGGGAAUCUUGCACAAUGGGCGAAAGCCUGAUGCAGCGACGCCGCGUGCGGGAUGAAGGCCUUCGGGUUGUAAGCCGCUUUCAGCAGGGACGAGGCGAAAGUGACGGUACCUGCAGAAGAAGCCCCGGCUAACUACGUGCCAGCAGCCGCGGUAAUACGUAGGGGGCAAGCGUUAUCCGGAUUCAUUGGGCGUAAAGCGCUCGUAGGCGGUCUGUUAGGUCGGGAGUUAAAUCCGGGGGCUCAACCCCCGUUCGCUCCCGAUACCGGCAGACUUGAGUUUGGUAGGGGAAGGUGGAAUUCCUAGUGUAGCGGUGGAAUGCGCAGAUAUUAGGAAGAACACCAGUGGCGAAGGCGGCCUUCUGGGCCAUAACUGACGCUGAGGAGCGAAAGCUAGGGGAGCAAACAGGAUUAGAUACCCUGGUAGUCCUAGCCGUAAACGAUGGACACUAGGUGUGGGGGAAUAUUUCUUCCGUGCCGCAGCUAACGCAUUAAGUGUCCCGCCUGGGGAGUACGGCCGCAAGGCUA